UGGCUAUAUCCCUAUAAUUUACGAGCUAUUGUUUAGCCUGAAUAAGAGUAGGGUGUUUUCGGAGAGUCACAUCUUCAUAGAUGUUCUUGCCCAAAACCACGCAGGGAAGCUGAAGACAUGGACAGAAGGUAUCAGGGUCAACGUCGUCAGAAAAUUUCAUCUGCAUCUUCAUCAUUCAAUUCCUCAACUGGGUUACGCUCAAAUGAAACUAGAAAUACCAAAGUUUCCAACUCUUCAAGGAACAACCCAAAGAACGAAGACAACUCCAUUAAUGCCCACAGUGGAAGAAACAAACCACAGGAAGAUGAAGUACAAGCAGAAGCUGUUGUGGGAACUUGCCCAUUUAUGUGCCCAGAGGAUGAAAGGAUUCAGCGUCAGCGCCUCAGAGAUCUAGCCGUCUUUGAGAGACUUGAGGGAGAUCCUCGCAAGUCGUCUCCGGCACUGGCUGUCAAAAAAUUUUGCAGGACAAUGUCCGCCAAGCAGGUGCGAGCAUCUGAAGUGCGCCCUCUUCCAGUGCUGGAAGACACUUUGAACUAUCUUUUAAACUUUCUGGAUUCUAAGGAACAUCCUUUUGAUGUGAUUCAUGACUUUGUGUUCGAUAGGACAAGGUCCAUAAGGCAAGAUCUUACCAUGCAGAAUAUUGUUAAUGACAGAGUAGUGUACAUGUAUGAGAAAAUGGUUAAAUUUUAUGUAAUAGCACAUCACAAGCUUCGAAGUAGUUGCACUGGUUCAAGUAUUGCUUCAAUGCGUUACCUAAACUUGGAGCAGCUUACAAAAGCUCUGACAUCUCUAUAUAAUCUGUAUGAAGCAAAUUGGGGCUCCAAUUCCCCUUUCAGGAAUGAAGCUGAGUUUUAUUCAUUUUACGUGCUUCUUCAUCUUGAUUCUAAUGUCCAAGCAACGGGGGAGUCACUUUCUUUGUGGUUUCGUCGUGUUCCAUCUCCAAUUAUCAAGUCAAGAGAAAUGAGUUUUGCUCGCGAGGUUUUACGAAAGGUGUUGUGUAAAAAAGGUACUUUCGGAUGGGCAAUUAUAAGCGUUUCCUCUGUGCUGCUGCUGAGGCAUCAUAUUUGCAGUACUGCAUUAUUGAACCAUAUAUUGAUCAGGUUCGAGCACUUGCUCUGUGCUGUAUAAAUAAAUGUGGCUAUAAGCUUCAUCCGUAUCCUCUGAUGCACUUAUCUGAGCUUCUGAUGAUGGAGGAGUCAGAUGUGGAUUUGUUUUGCAAUGCUUGUGGUCUUGAGACAUGCACAGAUGAAGUUGGAAAUAGGUUGCUACCCACCAAGCAGACAACUUUUAAUUGUCCCCCGGAAGGGUUUCAAAGAUACAGCUUUUUGGGAUUGCAACAACUUGAGAGGCAAAUCGCAAGUUUCACCAUUUAGAGACAGUAUAUUGCUUGGAAAGAGUGGUUGAUGGCUUAACCUGAAUCACUGAUGUAUCAAUGGACAACUAACAAGUAACUUCUCUGUAUAUUUGGAUAGACUGUACACUUGUUGUAUCAUAGAUAUUAUGGUUGAUUCAGUUUCAUUAUGGCUGCAAUACGUUGAUUGUCUCCCUUAUAAUACAAAAGCUUGAAACCUGA